GUACUGAUGAAGAGUCCAUAAUUAGGACGAAACAGCUGUCCAGUAC
rfam:Trichobilharzia regenti genome assembly, scaffold: TRE_scaffold0023532